rnacentral:rRNA from 1 species
GUUAAUUGAUUAUGACGUACUUGUACUGAUUGAGAUUUUAACACGAAGUGAGUGGCGAACGGGUGAGUAACACGUGGGUAACCUGCCCAGAAGUAGGGGAUAACACCUGGAAACAGAUGCUAAUACCGUAUAACAGAGAAAACCGCAUGGUUUUCUUUUAAAAGAUGGCUCUGCUAUCACUUCUGGAUGGACCCGCGGCGUAUUAGCUAGUUGGUGAGGUAAAGGCUCACCAAGGCAGUGAUACGUAGCCGACCUGAGAGGGUAAUCGGCCACAUUGGGACUGAGACACGGCCCAGACUCCUACGGGAGGCAGCAGUAGGGAAUCUUCCACAAUGGACGCAAGUCUGAUGGAGCAACGCCGCGUGAGUGAAGAAGGGUUUCGGCUCGUAAAGCUCUGUUGUUAAAGAAGAACGUGGGUAAGAGUAACUGUUUACCCAGUGACGGUAUUUAACCAGAAAGCCACGGCUAACUACGUGCCAGCAGCCGCGGUAAUACGUAGGUGGCAAGCGUUAUCCGGAUUUAUUGGGCGUAAAGCGAGCGCAGGCGGUCUUUUAAGUCUAAUGUGAAAGCCUNUCGGCUCAACCGAAGAAGUGCAUUGGAAACUGGGAGACUUGAGUGCAGAAGAGGACAGUGGAACUCCAUGUGUAGCGGUGAAAUGCGUAGAUAUAUGGAAGAACACCAGUGGCGAAGGCGGCUGUCUGGUCUGCAACUGACGCUGAGGCUCGAAAGCAUGGGUAGCGAACAGGAUUAGAUACCCUGGUAGUCCAUGCCGUAAACGAUGAUUACUAAGUGUUGGAGGGUUUCCGCCCUUCAGUGCUGCAGCUAACGCAUUAAGUAAUCCGCCUGGGGAGUACGACCGCAAGGUUGAAACUCAAAAGAAUUGACGGGGGCCCGCACAAGCGGUGGAGCAUGUGGUUUAAUUCGAAGCUACGCGAAGAACCUUACCAGGUCUUGACAUCUUCUGACAGUCUAAGAGAUUAGAGGUUCCCUUCGGGGACAGAAUGACAGGUGGUGCAUGGUUGUCGUCAGCUCGUGUCGUGAGAUGUUGGGUUAAGUCCCGCAACGAGCGCAACCCUUAUUACUAGUUGCCAGCAUUAAGUUGGGCACUCUAGUGAGACUGCCGGUGACAAACCGGAGGAAGGUGGGGACGACGUCAAAUCAUCAUGCCCCUUAUGACCUGGGCUACACACGUGCUACAAUGGAUGGUACAACGAGUCGCGAGACCGCGAGGUUAAGCUAAUCUCUUAAAACCAUUCUCAGUUCGGACUGUAGGCUGCAACUCGCCUACACGAAGUCGGAAUCGCUAGUAAUCGCGGAUCAGCAUGCCGCGGUGAAUACGUUCCCGGGCCUUGUACACACCGCCCGUCACACCAUGAGAGUUUGUAACACCCAAAGCCGGUGGGGUA